rnacentral:rRNA from 1 species
GUGGGGAAUUUUGGACAAUGGGCGCAAGCCUGAUCCAGCAAUGCCGCGUGCAGGAAGAAGGCCUUCGGGUUGUAAACUGCUUUUGUACGGAACGAAACGGUUCUCUCUAAUACAGGGAGCUAAUGACGGUACCGUAAGAAUAAGCACCGGCUAACUACGUGCCAGCAGCCGCGGUAAUACGUAGGGUGCAAGCGUUAAUCGGAAUUACUGGGCGUAAAGCGUGCGCAGGCGGUUUUGUAAGACAGAGGUGAAAUCCCCGGGCUCAACCUGGGAGCUGCCUUUGUGACUGCAAGGCUGGAGUGCGGCAGAGGGGGAUGGAAUUCCGCGUGUAGCAGUGAAAUGCGUAGAUAUGCGGAGGAACACCGAUGGCGAAGGCAAUCCCCUGGGCCUGCACUGACGCUCAUGCACGAAAGCGUGGGGAGCAAACAGGAUUAGAUACCCCGGUAGUCC